UUUGAGCAGCGCUUCGCAUGCUCAUUAGCUUUUGGGGUUUCCUUCUCUGUAAAUUGCCUGUCACGGCCGGCGCUUGCCCAUUUUCUGCUGGACCUGACGUCCUCUCUUCGAACCCUCACGAACUAAAUGAUCAAAGGCUGGGUAAAAGCCCUGGAUUGAGAUUAAAAUUUUUUACAACACUGGUCACGUGGUACAGAGACUCCUGAAUUCCCCUCUCCAUCUCUAAGCCCGGUCAUGAGCUACCACUCAUAAAGUUCAUAAAGCAAGCUGCCUCUUCAACAACUCUAACUGCCUGACUCCUAGACCUUAGCCUGCCAGUAGGAGGGACUUAUUUUUCUUCCCCAUCUUAAUCAAUACCACCACCUCCUCUCAAAGUGAUCAAGUUCCAAAGGUGGAAGAUAAUCAAUAUUCUUAUGAGCCUUUCAAUGCCUCAUUCAAUCCAAGGGCAACCCUGCAGGGUCCCUGUUUGAACUGUCCUGCAGUCCACUGUCAGCAACACCAGCAUCCCAACCACUUAGAUAAUGGGCAGCGCCAGAGUCUGCCCUGGGAAAGAAGACUCCCUAUUUGAAACAGGAAAACAAUUUGCUGAGUAAUUUUUGAAAACUAUGUGUCCAUAUUGCGUUCCUUAAGAUUCCAUUCGAAGGUGUUAGCAUCCAUGAGGGAGCCUUACCUGGAGCAGAUACUGCUUUGCUGACUGCAAAAUGGGAAUUCUCAUAAUCUUAUCACUUCAGUAUCAGCACUGUACACUGUCUGUGAAGAACUUUCCCCUGUUCUCUCUGGGAAUAUUGAUAAAAUUUAUGGAUUACUUUUUAAUUCUGUGUGCCAUAACCCAUGACAGCCAUUUUUUUCCUAACUUUCAAACUGUUAGGACUUUGACCAAAUCCUACAAACUAUUCUUACCUUUCCACAGUUCCCCCACCACCACUGACAUUUUUGUGAUAUCUAAUCUUGGUUGUCAACUUCACUGCAUCUGGAAUCAAUUAAACCCAAAGAUGUUGGAUACUCCUUUGAGGGAUUUUCUUGAUCAGAUUAUUUGAAGCAGGAAGACCCAUCCUAAAUCUGGGUGGUACGUUCAGGUGGCAUCCCACAUACAAGGACAUAGAAGAAGGAAUCGACUUUUGCCUGCUUCCUCUCACUCUUGCUCACAAGAUCACCUGCUCUGUAGAUGUGACUUCUUCAGGAUUCUAAAAGACUGAAGAUCAGCUGUUCUCCAGGAAUCUUCCAGGCCUUUGACACCAGAUUGGGACCACUGAGACAUUCAGCCUUGAGGACUAAGCAACAACUGGAUUCUUGGCCUCUCCAAUGUGAGACAGACAUUGUUGGAAUACCUGUAUCAUAUCCUGAAAGCCAAUCUAUAAAUCCCCUUUUAAUAUAUUUAUUCAUCCUAUCUGUUCUGUUCCUUUAGAGAACCUUGACUGAUAUGUUUAUUAAAAUAGUACCCCAUU